rnacentral:rRNA from 1 species
ACAUGCCUACAACAUAGAGUUAAUGCAUCAGAUCCCAUUAGAACUCCGUAGUUAAGCGCACUUAGGCUAGAGUAGUACAAGGAUGGGGGACCGCCCAAGAAUUCCUGGUGUUUUACAUGCC